rnacentral:rRNA from 1 species
GACGAACGCUGGCGGCGUGCCUAAUACAUGCAAGUUGAGCGCUGAAGGUUGGUACUUGUACCAACUGGAUGAGCAGCGAACGGGUGAGUAACGCGUGGGGAAUCUGCCUUUGAGCGGGGGACAACAUUUGGAAACGAAUGCUAAUACCGCAUAAAAACUUUAAACACAAGUUUUAAGUUUGAAAGAUGCAAUUGCAUCACUCAAAGAUGAUCCCGCGUUGUAUUAGCUAGUUGGUGAGGUAAAGGCUCACCAAGGCGAUGAUACGUAGCCGACCUGAGAGGGUGGGUAGCCGCACUGGGACGGGGACCCGGCCCAAACUCCCUCGGGAAGGAGCCAUAGGGAAACUUGGGCCAUGGGCGGAAGUCUGACCGAAAAAAGCCGCAGGCGUGAAGAAGGGUUUCGGGUCGUAAAACACUGUUUGUAGGGAAGAAACUUGGUUGGAGUGGAAAGCUCAUUAAGUGACGGUAACUACUCAAAAAGCGACGGCUAACUACGUG